rnacentral:rRNA from 1 species
UACGGAAGGCAGCAGUGGGGAAUAUUGGACAAUGGGCGCAAGCCUGAUCCAGCCAUGCCGCGUGUGUGAAGAAGGCCUUUUGGUUGUAAAGCACUUUAAGCGAGGAGGAGGCUCUCUUAGUUAAUACCUAAGAUGAGUGGACGUUACUCGCAGAAUAAGCACCGGCUAACUCUGUGCCAGCAGCCGCGGUAAUACAGAGGGUGCGAGCGUUAAUCGGAUUUACUGGGCGUAAAGCGUGCGUAGGCGGCUUUUUUAAGUCGGAUGUGAAAUCCCCGAGCUUAACUUGGGAAUUGCAUUCGAUACUGGGAAGCUAGAGUAUGGGAGAGGAUGGUAGAAUUCCAGGUGUAGCGGUGAAAUGCGUAGAGAUCUGGAGGAAUACCGAUGGGCGAAGGCAGCCAUCUGGCCUAAUACUGACGCUGAGGUACGAAAGCAUGGGGAGCAAACAGGAUUAGAUAACC